GUCCAUUUCCUCUGUCGACGAAUCUCCCAUUCGUGGCGGCGGCUUUGGCUUUCUCCAUAGCCCAAUUCCUCAAGCUCUUCACCACACAACAUGCAGGUAUAAGGAAAAAAGGUGGAACUAUAAGAGGUUGGUUGGAUCAGGUGUAAUGCCUUCAUCACAAUCAGCAACUGGGGCGGCUGUUGCAGUGGCUAUUGGUCUUCAAGAAAGGACCGGGGGAUCCUUAUUUGCCCUUGCUACAAUAUUGGCAUCUGUUAAUUUGGAAAGGUUCAACAUGAUAAGCCAUUGGAUCACCAAUAGCACCAUUUGCUGGAAAUAGUACGUUGGUUUCAUUCCAUUGUCCGGGCAAUGAUUCAAACGGCAUCAUCACACCUGAAGGUUACAGGAGCAAGUAUUUUGUGCAACUUCUGCAAAAUGAAGUUCCAAUUCCCGUGUCGGUGAUUUAAGAUCUCGCAAGCAGGACCUCUUGAGCCGGGGAGAGAAAGCUACAAUGAGGAAUACAAAGCAAAAGUGUACAAGCACUAGAAAAAAACUCUUAUUUGAAUCGGAUGUAAAUGUUUUAUAGAAACUAGUGCGAGAGCAACUUAAGCAUGGCAUUAUAUAAUGGGGAAGUAUUAACUAAAAUUGUAGUUCGAACAUAUUUUGGAUCUUUUUUUUUUUGAAUUGUUAUAUGCAAUAUUUGAAGUUUUUACUUUA